rnacentral:rRNA from 1 species
UACGAACCGGUAACAGGGGUAGCUUGCUACCCGCUGACGAGCGGCGGACGGGUGAGUAAUGCAUAGGAAACUGCCCAGUAGUGGGGGAUAGCCCGGGGAAACCCGGUUUAAUACCGCAUACGUCCUUCGGGAGAAAGCAGGGGAUCUUCGGACCUUGCGCUAUUGGAUGUGCCUAUGUCGGAUUAGCUAGUUGGUGGGGUAAGAGCCUACCAAGGCGACGAUCCGUAGCUGGUCUGAGAGGAUGAUCAGCCACAUCGGGACUGAGACACGGCCCGAACUCCUACGGGAGGCAGCAGUGGGGAAUAUUGGACAAUGGGGGCAACCCUGAUCCAGCCAUGCCGCGUGUGUGAAGAAGGCUUUCGGGUUGUAAAGCACUUUCAGUGAGGAGGA